rnacentral:rRNA from 1 species
ACGGAAGGCAGCAGUGGGGAAUAUUGCACAAUGGGCGGAAGCCUGAUGCAGCGAUGCCGCGUGGAGGAAGAAGGUUUUCGGAUUGUAAACUCCUUUUAUCAGGGACGAUAAUGACGGUACCUGUAGAAAAAGCUCCGGCUAACUACGUGCCAGCAGCCGCGGUAAUACGUAGGGAGCGAGCGUUGUCCGGAAUUACUGGGUGUAAAGGGUGCGUAGGCGGGGAUGCAAGUCAGAUGUGAAAUGUAUGGGCUCAACCCAUGAACUGCAUUUGAAACUGCAACUCUUGAGUGAGGUAGAGGUAAGCGGAAUUCCUAGUGUAGCGGUGAAAUGCGUAGAUAUUAGGAGGAACACCGGUGGCGAAGGCGGCUUACUGGGCCUUUACUGACGCUGAGGCACGAAAGCGUGGGGAGCAAACAGGAUUAGAUACCCUGGUA